AACUUCCGUUAAUUGAUUAUGACGUACUUGUACUGAUUGAGAUUUUAACACGAAGUGAGUGGCGAACGGGUGAGUAACACGUGGGUAACCUGCCCAGAAGUAGGGGAUAACACCUGGAAACAGAUGCUAAUACCGUAUAACAGAGAAAACCGCAUGGUUUUCUUUUAAAAGAUGGCUCUGCUAUCACUUCUGGAUGGACCCGCGGCGUAUUAGCUAGUUGGUGAGGUAAAGGCUCACCAAGGCAGUGAUACGUAGCCGACCUGAGAGGGUAAUCGGCCACAUUGGGACUGAGACACGGCCCAGACUCCUACGGGAGGCAGCAGUAGGGAAUCUUCCACAAUGGACGCAAGUCUGAUGGAGCAACGCCGCGUGAGUGAAGAAGGGUUUCGGCUCGUAAAGCUCUGUUGUUAAAGAAGAACGUGGGUAAGAGUAACUGUUUACCCAGUGACGGUAUUUAACCAGAAAGCCACGGCUAACUACGUGCCAGCAGCCGCGGUAAUACGUAGGUGGCAAGCGUUAUCCGGAUUUAUUGGGCGUAAAGCGAGCGCAGGCGGUCUUUUAAGUCUAAUGUGAAAGCCUUCGGCUCAACCGAAGAAGUGCAUUGGAAACUGGGAGACUUGAGUGCAGAAGAGGACAGUGGAACUCCAUGUGUAGCGGUGAAAUGCGUAGAUAUAUGGAAGAACACCAGUGGCGAAGGCGGCUGUCUGGUCUGCAACUGACGCUGAGGCUCGAAAGCAUGGGUAGCGAACAGGAUUAGAUACCCUGGUAGUCCAUGCCGUAAACGAUGAUUACUAAGUGUUGGAGGGUUUCCGCCCUUCAGUG
rnacentral:rRNA from 1 species